UCAUUGAUUUUUUUUUUCCCCAAGCAAAAUCCCCUCUUAGAAAUGUCCCAGCGGUAGGAGGGUCUAGGCUCAGACCCGUAAGUAAACAAUUUUCACUGUGGGUGCCGAGAGAAGGAGCUGGGAAUUUUCCCUGUGAAUGCCAUCCUUCCCUUCCCACUCAAAAAGCGCUCAGGAUGUACAGGACACCCGCACGCCACAGACCCGCUCCGUAAGUCAAAAAGGAAACAAGUUUUGGCCAGAACCAAAAAACUGCCCACAGAACAAAGCAAGGGCUGCAAGACGUAGACACAGUCCGACAGUGAGGACAAGACAGAACUCUCCCAGAGACCAGGAUUCUCUCCUUACCCUUGCCGCAGGCUUUGCGACGCUAACGAAGUCGUUAAACCAAACUUUUGGGUGCUGACGGUUGUAUUGCCCACAUUGCGGGUGUGUGGCUUGAAACCUUUAGCCUCAAUUGCUGACAUCCAUCUUAGUACAGCUGGAAGCAGUGGGUGCUGUGCUUGCACGUAUGAAGUGCUGUAUCAUGUUAAAUGCUCUGAAAAAGCAGACAUUACGCUUCUCGGAUGGAGUACCCUGAAUUAGUCAAAACUGACCUUAAUCCAUCCACACGUCACCCUGACCCAUCUCCAUAACGGGUGGUUGAGGAGGAUUAAUGAAGGUGCUGAAGCACUGAUGCAGCGUAGUGGAAAGUACCGUAGAAAAAGCCCUGAGGAAAUGAAUAAUUCUGUCUUCAGAGGAACCCGCCAACAUCCCUGCUCCGGUCCUGUACAGCACACUACAGCCUUACGACCCUUCUGGCCAUUCCUCCAGGAUUUCUGGACAGCACCUCUAAAGGAGGUCACAGCACGCCAAAAUCCAGGUACGCAGGUCAGUUCCUCGGUGCAGACGGGUUGCGCACAGCAGGUCCGAAGCAUCCCUAGACUCAACCUGAGUGCGUUUUUACUAUCCAGAAGGUAGUUCUGCUUUGAAAACUGCACACAGGAAUAUUGGAGCCGUAUUUUCUAUUGCUGCAAAAUCCAAAAGUGGUCAGAUAUGUGAAUAAUGUGCUGAGCUAAGGCCUAGGAUAUGUGCUGAACAAUAGGAACAAGCCAGCAUUGCUGAGCCCCUCGCUGACCAUCUCAUGCACUGCACGCCGUAGCGAUGCAGAAGAAAAAUAAUAUCUGAACAUGCAAUUAAAACCUUGGUCUGCUUCAACAAAAGGGCGUCGAUUAAGUCGCACUGGCAACAAGAAUUUGGACAUUUCCGCAUUUUGAGUACUUUCCUGGGCAGUAGCGAUCGCAUGCUUAACAGAUUUUUGGCUACCAUAUAUGCACACUUAAACAAAACUUGCAUACAAAUGCAUAUGUAACACAAAAUACACAGAGAUAACACCUGACGGAUGGUUCUACAGAAAGGUCACGUAUAUGAUAUAUAUGAUACUCAGUUUACAUAGUAUGACAUUUAUGUAACACGAAGAGCUCUGACAGGGUGUUGUCAGCUGGCAUUUGCUAAGAGAAGAAAUAAAUCUAAUAAUAAAAACAGAAAAAGCAUUUUGGAAGAAAUAAUACUGCACAAAUCCUCUAAAAGGACAGAAUCAUCUACACAACAAAGGCUCGGCUGACUGAUGCUAAAAUAAGCAGUUAUGCAACAAGUAAGAAAUACAAUCUCCAGGGAAGAAAGCA